rnacentral:rRNA from 1 species
CUACGGGUUGCUCCAGUGAGGAAUAUCGCACAAUGGGGGGAACCCUGAUGCAGCAACGCCGCGUGGAGGAUGACGCAUUUCGGUGUGUAAACUCCUUUUAUAUGUCAAGAAAAUGACGGUAGCAUAUGAAUAAGCACCGGCUAACUCCGUGCCAGCAGCCGCGGUAAUACGGAGGGUGCAAGCGUUACUCGGAAUCACUGGGCGUAAAGGACGCGUAGGCGGGUUGGGAAGUCAGGUGUGAAAUCCUACAGCUUAACUGUAGAACUGCACUUGAAACUUCUAAUCUAGAGUAUGGGAGGGGGAGAUGGAAUUAGUGGUGUAGGGGUAAAAUCCGUAGAUAUCACUAGGAAUACCUAAAGCGAAGGCGAUCUCCUGGAACAUUACUGACGCUAAGGCGUGAAAGCGUGGGGAGCAAACAGGAUUAGAUACCCCAGUAGUC